rnacentral:rRNA from 1 species
GGAAUAUUGGGCAAUGGACGAAAGUCUGACCCAGCCAUGCCGCGUGCAGGAUGACGGCCCUAUGGGUUGUAAACUGCUUUUAUAUAGGAAGAAACCCCCGCUCGUGAGCGGGGCUGACGGUACUAUAAGAAUA